UACAGAGGUCUCAAGCGUUGUCCGGAUUCAUUGGGCGUAAAGAGCGUGUAGGCGGCCAGGUAUGUCUGCUGUGAAAACUCGAGGCUCAACCUCGAGACGUCGGCGGAAACCAUCUGGCUAGAGUCCGGAAGAGGAGAGUGGAAUUCCUGGUGUAACGGUGAAAUGCGCAGAUAUCAGGAAGAACACCCGUGGCGAAGGCGGCUCUCUGGGACGGUACUGACGCUGAGACGCGAAAGCGUGGAGAGCGAACAGG
rnacentral:rRNA from 1 species